GACAGAGGGGCCGAGCGUUAGGCGGAAUCACUGGGCUUAAAGCGUGUGUAGGCGGGCGAUAAAGUACCUUGUGAAAUCCCACGGCUCAACCGUGGAACCGCUGGGUAUACUGGUUGUCUUGAGCCGGCUAGGGGCGAGCGGAACAGACGGUGGAGCGGUGAAAUGCGUAGAUAUCGUCUGGAACGCCGAAGGUGAAAACAGCUCGCUGGGGCCGCGCUGACGCUGAGACACGAAAGCCAGGGGAGCGAACGGG
rnacentral:rRNA from 1 species